AUUGAACGCUGGCGGCAGGCCUAACACAUGCAAGUCGAGCGGAUGAAGGGAGCUUGCUUCUGGAUUCAGCGGCGGACGGGUGAGUAAUGCCUAUGAAUCUGCCUGGUAGUGGGGUAUAACGUCCGGACACGGGCGCUAAUACCGCAUACGUCCUGAGGGAGAAAGUGGGGGAUCUUCGGACCUCACGCUAUCAGAUGAGCCUAGGUCGGGUUAGCUAGUUGGUGGGGUAAAGGCCUACCAAGGCGACGAUCCGUAACUGGUCUGAGAGAAUGAUCAGUCACACUGGAACUGGGACACGGUCCAGACUCCUACGGGAGGCAGCAGUGGGGAAUAUUGGACAAUGGGCGAAAGCCUGAUCCAGCCAUGCCGCGUGUGUGAAGAAGGUCUUCGGAUUGUAAAGCACUUUAAGUUGGGAGGAAGGGCAGUAAGUUAAUACCUUGCUGUUUUGACGUUACAAACAGAAUAAGCACCGGCUAACUUCGUG
rnacentral:rRNA from 1 species